GCGAAAGCGUGGGGAGCAACAGGAUUAGAUACCUUGGUAGUCCACGCUGUAAACGAUGUCGAUUUGGAGGUUGUUCCCUUGAGGAGUGGCUUCCGGAGCUAACGCGUUAAAUCGACCGCUGGGGAGUACGGCCGCAAGGUUAAAACUCAAAUGAAUUGACGGGGGCCCGCACAAGCGGUGGAGCAUGUGGUUUAAUUCGAUGCAACGCGAAGAACCUUACCUACUCUUGACAUCCAGAGAAUUUAGCAGAGAUGCUUUAGUGCCUUCGGGAACUCUGAGACAGGUGCUGCAUGGCUGUCGUCAGCUCGUGUUGUGAAAUGUUGGGUUAAGUCCCGCAACGAGCGCAACCCUUAUCCUUUGUUGCCAGCACGUUAUGGUGGGAACUCAAAGGAGACUGCCGGUGAUAAACCGGAGGAAGGUGGGGAUGACGUCAAGUCAUCAUGGCCCUUACGAGUAGGGCUACACACGUGCUACAAUGGCGUAUACAAAGAGAAGCGACCUCGCGAGAGCAAGCGGAACUCAUAAAGUACGUCGUAGUCCGGAUUGGAGUCUGCAACUCGACUCCAUGAAGUCGGAAUCGCUAGUAAUCGUAGAUCAGAAUGCUACGGUGAAUACGUUCCCGGGCCUUGUACACACCGCCCGUCACACCAUGGGAGUGGGUUGCAAAAGAAGUAGGUAGCUUAACCUUCGGGAGGGCGCUUACCACUUUGUGAUUCAUGACUGGGGUGAAGUCGUAACAAGGUAACCA
rnacentral:rRNA from 1 species